UACGGAGGGGGCUAGCGUUGUUCGGAAUUACUGGGCGUAAAGCGUACGUAGGCGGCUUUGUAAGUUAGAGGUGAAAGCCCGGGGCUCAACCCCGGAACUGCCUUUAAGACUGCAUCGCUUGAAUCCGGGAGAGGUGAGUGGAAUUCCGAGUGUAGAGGUGAAAUUCGUAGAUAUUCGGAAGAACACCAGUGGCGAAGGCGGCUCACUGGACCGGUAUUGACGCUGAGGUGCGAAAGCGUGGGGAUCAAACAGG
rnacentral:rRNA from 1 species